rnacentral:rRNA from 1 species
CGACAGCAAUAUGAAGGUCAGGCUGAAGACCUUACCCGAUUAGCUGAGAGGUGGUGCAUGGCCGUCGUCAGUUCGUACUGUGAAGCAUCCUGUUAAGUCAGGCAACGAGCGAGACCCACGUCCACAGUUGCCAGCAUACCCUCCGGGGUGAUGGGUACACUGUGGAGACCGCCGCUGCUAAAGCGGAGGAAGGAGUGGGCAACGGUAGGUCAGUAUGCCCCGAAUCUCCCGGGCUACACGCGGGCUACAAUGGUUGGUACAAUGGGCAUCUACCCCGAAAGGGGAAGGAAAUCUCUUAAAGCCAAUCGUAGUUCGGAUUGAGGGCCGCAACUCGCCCUCAUGAAGCUGGAAUCCGUAGUAAUCGCGUUUCAACAGAACGCGGUGAAUACGUCCCUGCUCCUU